GCUACUUUACCCCACCGCAAAAAGUCAAGCCAAGCUUCAAACUUAAAAGACCUGGCGGUACUCUAAAUAAACCUAGAGGGGCCUGUCUAGUAAUCGAUAAUCCACGAAAAACCCAACCUCUUCUGGCCAAAUCAGCCUGUAUACCGCCGUCGAAAGCUAAUUUUUCAAGAAAUAUAAAGCUAAAAAGUACAGUUAACUAACACGUCAGGUCAAGGUGUAGCACAUGAAGAGGAUAAGAUUGGCCACAGUAUAGCACCCAACAAAACAACAAUGAAACGCGUAAUUACAAGAAUUUAGCAGUAAGAGAACAAAUGAAUGAUUCCCUGAACCAAUAUACUCCCCUAGAGUACGCACACACCGCCCGUCACCCUCUGACGUCAA
rnacentral:rRNA from 1 species